rnacentral:tRNA from 2 species
CGGAAUGUAGCGCAGCCUGGUAGCGCACUUGUCUGGGGGACAAGGGGUCGUGGGUUCGAAUCCCGCCAUUCCGACCA